GAUGGCCAGGCUGUCUCCACCCGAGACUCAGUGAAAUUGAACUCGCUGUGAAGAUGCAGUGUACCCGCGGCAAGACGGAAAGACCCCGUGAACCUUUACUAUAGCUUGACACUGAACAUUGAGCCUUGAUGUGUAGGAUAGGUGGGAGGCUUUGAAGCGUGGACGCCAGUCUGCGUGGAGCCGACCUUGAAAUACCACCCUUUAAUGUUUGAUGUUCUAACGUGGAUCCGUAAUCCGGGUUGCGGACAGUGUCUGGUGGGUAGUUUGACUGGGGCGGUCUCCUCCUAAAGAGUAACGGAGGAGCACGAAGGUUGGCUAAUCCUGGUCGGACAUCAGGAGGUUAGUGCAAUGGCAUAAGCCAGCUUGACUGCGAGCGUGACGGCGCGAGCAGGUGCGAAAGCAGGUCAUAGUGAUCCGGUGGUUCUGAAUGGAAGGGCCAUCGCUCAACGGAUAAAAGGUACUCCGGGGAUAACAGGCUGAUACCGCCCAAGAGUUCAUAUCGACGGCGGUGUUUGGCACCUCGAUGUCGGCUCAUCACAUCCUGGGGCUGAAGUAGGUCCCAAGGGUAUGGCUGUUCGCCAUUUAAAGUGGUACGCGAGCUGGGUUUAGAACGUCGUGAGACAGUUCGGUCCCUAUCUGCCGUGGGCGCUGGAGAACUGAGGGGGGCUGCUCCUAGUACGAGAGGACCGGAGUGGACGCAUCACUGGUGUUCGGGUUGUCAUGCCAAUGGCACUGCCCGGUAGCUAAAUGCGGAAGAGAUAAGUGCUGAAAGCAUCUAAGCACGAAACUUGCCCCGAGAUGAGUUCUCCCUGAGACUUAGAGUCUCCUGAAGGAACGUUGAAGACGACGACGUUGAUAGGCCGGGUGUGUAAGCGCAGCGAUGCGUUGAGCUAACCGGUACUAAUGAACCGUGAGGCUUAACCUU
rnacentral:rRNA from 1 species